rnacentral:lncRNA from 1 species
AUUCACAAAAUAUUUAUUCUAACUUAUAAAUUAAACAAAUUCUUCGAAGUACAAUUCAAUUUUUUUUUUUGAAUAAACCAUCAAGAUCUAAAGGAGGCUUCGGAGGAUCCUUACUUGGAAUGAUCGCUUGGCCCGUGCUCGUGCUUGUGUUUCUCCUAAAAAACAACAAAAUAAUUUUGAUUGAUUAAUAAAAUGUUUAUACUAAGAAUUUUAGUAAGUAUUGAAUAACUUACUUCUAUAGUAGCGAUUUUGCCUAACAAGUCUGUAUGUUGUUUUAGCAAGAUCUCCAAUUGUUGGCUAACCGUCUCGAGUCUCUGGUUGACGACCGAAUCUCUGGUCUGUAAUUACACGUUAACGGCUUCUUGAACACGACUAUCGAAUUCUUUCUUUUUUUUCUUUUCUCUUUCUUCUUUUGUUUGGCCAUUUAUUUUGGACUUGGAUUUCUUCGGCAUCAAUGAAUCGUCCCCCGGUCUCAUUCCGAGAAUACGUCCUUUUGUCUUGCCUCCUGAAGCCCUAAUCCAAGCUUCCAGACUUUCAUAAAUGAAUAACGCCCUUUGCUUGUAGGAUGUCGAUCCUUACGUCGACAUUUCUUCUUCGUCUGUUGACUCCUCCUCGUCUUCAUUUAUUGAUUGUUGUUUAUCGAAAU